GACGAACGCUGGCGGCGUGCCUAAUACAUGCAAGUUGAGCGAUGAAGAUUGGUGCUUGCACCAAUUUGAAGAGCAGCGAACGGGUGAGUAACGCGUGGGGAAUCUGCCUUUGAGCGGGGGACAACAUUUGGAAACGAAUGCUAAUACCGCAUAACAACUUUAAACAUAAGUUUUAAGUUUGAAAGAUGCAAUUGCAUCACUCAAAGAUGAUCCCGCGUUGUAUUAGCUAGUUGGUGAGGUAAAGGCUCACCAAGGCGAUGAUACAUAGCCGACCUGAGAGGGUGAUAGGCCACAUUGGGACUGAGACACGGCCCAAACUCCUACGGGAGGCAGCAGUAGGGAAUCUUCGGCAAUGGACGAAAGUCUGACCGAGCAACGCCGCGUGAGUGAAGAAGGUUGUCGGAUCGUAAAACUCUGUUGGUAGAGAAGAACGUUGGUGAGAGUGGAAAGCUCAUCAAGUGACGGUAACUACCCAGAAAGGGACGGCUAACUACGUG
rnacentral:rRNA from 1 species